UACGGAGGAUGCAAGCGUUAUCCGGAAUUAUUGGGCGUAAAGGGUCUGUAGGGGGUGAUUCAAGUCUGCUGUCAAAGCGCGGAGCUUAGCUCUGUACAGGCAGUGGAAACUGAGUCACUUGAGUUCGGUAGGGGUUGCGGGAAUUCCCAGUGUAGCGGUGAAAUGCGUAGAUAUUGGGAAGAACACCGGUGGCGAAAGCGCGCGACUGGACCGAGACUGACACUGAGGGACGAAAGCUAGGGGAGCGAAAGGG
rnacentral:rRNA from 1 species